rnacentral:lncRNA from 1 species
CGGCUCAGCCCCUGCUGACAAGCCACUUAUCAGCAGUUAUCAGGUCUUGGCUGGAGCGUUCCCUCAAGAACCUACUCCGCAUACCUUCGUGCUGAGGAAAUUCCACAUCUGAGACCUGCGCCACGCCGCCCUGCUCUACCGGCCCAGGUCUCCUUCAGCAAAACAAACGUUAGCAGCAUUUAAGCCAUUACUCCGAUGCUGCCUUACAAGAGGCAGAGCGCAAGCGAGGAAUGGAAAAAGCCCUCACUGCUCACAGCGUUGCCCGAGAGGUUUUGACAGUAACGUCCACAGCACGAUGAGAAAUACUGUGGGAUUGGCACGUUUCCUUCCUGAAGGUUUUGCAAAACGCACUUCUUCUGCUGUGAAAAUCAAAGCCAGACUCAGCAUCAAACGAUUAAAGGUUAACUAAGACUUCAAACGAGCGCCGUGCAAUGGGUCAUUCUCCUACGGAUUAUGGAACACAAAGUAGCCCUCGGUAUUAAUAUCUGCAUUUAAUUACGGCCGUGUCUGAGGGUGAUGAGCAGAAAAACACAGGCUUUGUUACAGAUGUGCAUUUCGCUGUGGAAAUUCUUUGGAAAGAAAAACAUUGCUGCACCUGUUAGGCACCAAACGCCAACGAUUUCUCAGCACUAUGGGGCAAGUGGCCCACGUUUGGGGUGAAACGAAGCUGGAGUUGUUUUAAAAUAAGCACAAGAGUCUGCUAAAAUACAGUGCUUUUUUAUUCGAUGGGAAACAAGGUCCGCUGGCUCGGGAUGUGAGGAUGCAAACACAAACCAGGCUGGAAGAAAGCUCGGUGAAGUGUGCUGCGCUGCAGUUGGGUUUCUCCCAUAGCUCCUCCAGAAAGUUGGCCACUAGAAAAUGAGCGGCUGAUGCAGCACAGGGGAAAGCAACAUUCCUCCCCCUGGAAACCACCAUCUGCUUCCAGACACAUCCUCUUCACGCGCCUCUUCAUCCCUCACUAGAGCCUAAUCACAGAAGCCUUUUUAAUUAAAAGAGGUGGCUCAAUGCAUCUUUUUCCUAUUGAUCUGGAGUCAACAAGAAACCAUAAACCAAGAAAUUAAAAUAAUAAUUUAUAGCCUCUGGCCUGACUGCCUGUUAGCUCUGUUUGCCAUAUUGUACACAAUGGUUUCCUGCCUCUGCCAGUAUAUAAACUCAAUACAAGAGCUCCAAAAAGGGAGAGGAGAAAAAAAAAGCCAAACCCCCCACACACAACCCUAUAAGGCUUCCUCUAGAAACCAGCUCUGAGGAUGGUUUUCAGCUCACCCUUUGUCUGAUCUGGGGCCAACCCUCAGUUCCAAUCAUAACAGAAAACAGCGAAGAUGAAAGGCCAAACUCCAUUUCUUUCCAACUUGAGCCAGGUGUACAGCUGGCACCAGCAGCCUCCAAUGGAAACAUGUUCCAGUGAAGACAUGUUAAAGCAAUAAAAAGAAAAUGAGUAACAUGUGGCUAAAAACAUCUAUUCGUUUCGCUUAUUUUCUAUAAAUGAAUUUUCCCAGGGCAGCGUUUGGGGGUUUCUUUAAACAGUGCUCAGUUCCAUAGGCGUUACAGGGUUUCCAAGACAGUGUGAUCCCUCUGAGAGGUUUGAAAUGCCAGCAAGUACGUCUCUUAUAAACUAAUAGGCUAUUAUUUACAAUUGUGAGUGGCUCAAAUAGCCGAUUUAAAACCUUCAAAUGACAAAAAUUCCUCUGAGGCAAGAUGCCAAAGUUGAGCAAACAAUUUGUACGGUAUGUUAAGUGUAGGGGGAAGCCAUAGAGCUUGUAAUGAAGUCGUGUCUUGUGUUUCCAAUCAGAGGCAGGCAGGACGAAAUGCAUUAUGGCAAGCUACUGAGUGCAACAACAAACCACGGGGGGUGGGGGAGGAGGAAGGGGGAAGCAAGGUUGGAUUAAAAUAUAAUUUCUGUGGCUUGUUGAACAACAUGACGUAGCUAGUCCUCGGUAUGCAGAGGAUGGGUGCUUGCAAAGAGCACAGAGCCAUCUGCUGCUCGUCAGAUUCCAAAGCAAUUACAGAAUCUGUGUGUUUUGAUUGGUUUUUGUGGGUUUUUUCCCCCAGUUCACUUGCCCAGCCUAUACAGCAAAACCCACAAGCGACAGCAUGAGACAGAGCACUGAAAUGAGGGCAACCCCCCGCUGACAUUUCAGAGCAAGGUUCAAAGAACAGCUGACGUGAUGGGGCUAAAUGGGAAAGCAGAGGAAGAUCUCACAUAGACCAUCACCCCCAUCAGACUACAUGAGGCUGCCCACGAGGGCUGGGGGUUUGGGGUUUGGUUUUGGGGAGUUGUGGUUAGAUUUCCAUUUUGAAAUAAGAACAUCGAUUCCUCUAAGGACAACAGCUGUGCUUCCAGAAGGCAGCUGAUGCCCUGCCCUGGGAGCAAGCUGUGAUGAAGGCACAGUAAGAGAGAAAGGUGCAGGGAGCGAGCACUGAAGGCGCCGUACCAGCUUGCUCCCAGCACACACAUGGAUCCUCUACGGAUCAGCGUGGGAUUGCUAAGAGAUAACAAGGCAGGCUGUGAGGAGCACACCCCGAGGAGACGAAGCUGAGUCACUGCCAGAGCCCAGGGAGAGCCUCACCACCCAGAGAGCAGCACGAACAUAGAGGUAUGCAGGCAGCAAGCACUGAGAACAGCAUAUCUGUAUCGAAGGACAACAAUGGUGUGAGACCACAGUAGUUCCAAAGCAGCCAUAAGCCCGGCCAGAAGCAAUGAGCACCAACAUCCAACCCCCAGGAGCCUGCCAAAGCAACGGGCACAGCAAGCAAGCCAGGAACUGCUCUUGCAAACAGCCUCACGAGCAUUCCCCACAUUGGGGCAUUUCCCACGUGAGGCAUUCAAGAGAAAACUGUGCACAGAGCAGGGUCAGGGACGCUUCCCCAGGGCUUAGAGCUGAGAGAGCAGAGCUCAGGCCUUCAGCCCCAGCUCCUCCCAGUGCUCUGCAGGGGCCGUGGGAGCCCAAAGCCCAGGCUGGGGGAGCAUGUCUGAGCAUGUACAGCUCGGCUGUCAGGGACAUGCCAAACAUCCACGGCCAGGAGCAAUCCCAAAGGUUCCUUGUUGGCCUCAGCAGCUCUACUUCUGCUACGUCAGUGCAUGGCUACCCUCUCUUUUUCCAGGCAAUCCAAUCGUAUCUUAUCCAAGGAUAAGACAAACUACCCUUGAAUUAGGGGAAGACAUUGCAAAUAAUUCUAAGUACAAGCAUUCAGAAGUCCUCCUUCUCCUAAAUUGCUUAUGGAAAUUCCCAUUUCAUGUCUAUGUGUCUCUUUUCAAAGAAUGCAUCUCCCACAUCCUCUCCACCUCUUCAAGCCAUGGAACAUUUCCAUAGCAAGCAUCAGAGCGUUAGAGAGAAGUGCCCACACAAAGGCACAGAGGAGAACCACUUCUUCACAACGCCUUUUGGCCAGCUGUACAGAAUGUGCCAUACAGCAGGCAUCUUUCUUCCUACUUCAAUGCCUAGUAGCACUCAUCCUGGACGCUGUCAGCCAGGACACCUUCCACCUUGUUAUCUGUCACUGCUUCAGGCACUGAACUGUUCCAGGAGCACGGAUGAGUCAGUCUCGCAGACAAGCUGCAGCUGGGCUGGAUCUUGGCUUGUGUGGAGCGACAGGGGGCAGGGUGCUGUGCAAUUCAAUACUCACCAGCUCCCCUCUAUUGGGUCCGAGGAUUCCACAUUUAGCCCCAAUAACUCCAAAUGGCCCACGUGACAGCUUAAAGCCCUGUAUCUUACACCCCGGCUUCAGAUCAUUUGUGUGCUCCCAUCUUCUCACCUAUCCCCCUAGAGCACGUUCCCAGAACUACAUCUAUGAGUCACAUCCAUGCUCUGUCCCAGUGAGGCAAGCCAGCUGGCAGAGACCAAAUACCUUCUGCAGCCCAAGGAAAACCCAUCUGCAGCAUUUUUAAUCUCUCCCGGGCAUCUCUAUUUCAACAGAAAUUCCAGAGCAUCCCCAGUCAGAGAUGGGAAUACACCCCAUAACGCUAACCCAGGAAUGUG